CACGCCCUAAACUAUGUCAACUAGUUGUUGGGGGAGUUAAAUCCCUUAGUAACGCAGCUAACGCGUGAAGUUGACCGCCUGGGGANACGCGAAAAACCUUACCUACCCUUGACAUGUACGGAAGUCUCCAGAGAUGGAGUCGUGCCCGAAAGGGAACCGUAACACAGGUGC
rnacentral:rRNA from 1 species